rnacentral:tRNA from 1 species
AAAUAAGAAACAAAAAUUUGUUUUUAGUUUCGACCUAAAAUUUUGGUGGCGGCCACCCUUAUUUA